rnacentral:tRNA from 1 species
GAGGAUUUAGUAUAAUCAUUACAUAACUUUGUCAAAGUGAAAAUAUAAGUUGAAAUCCUUAUAAUCCUCU